rnacentral:ncRNA from 1 species
ACCCCCGUGAGAAUGCCCUAACAGUUCCCUGCCCGGGAACAAGGAGCUGGCAUCAGGCACAUUCCCUUACAGCCCACGACGCCUUGCUUAGCCACACCCUCAAGGGAAUUCAGCAGUGAUAAACAUUAAGCAAUAAGUGAAAACUUGACUUAGUUAAGGCUAAGAGGGCCGGUAAAACUCGUGCCAGCCACCGCGGUUAUACGAGAGGCUCAAGUUGAUAGACUACGGCGUAAAGCGUGGUUAAGGAAAACUAUAAAACUAAAGCCGAAUGCCCUCAGAGCUGUUAUACGCUCAUGAUGGUUAGAAGCCCAAUUACGAAAGUAGCUUUACACAACCUGAACCCACGAAAGCUAUGGCACAAACUGGGAUUAGAUACCCCACUAUGCUUAGCCCUAAACAUCAAUAGUACAAUACACCCACUAUUCGCCCGGGAACUACGAGCACUAGCUUAAAACCCAAAGGACUUGGCGGUGCUUUAGAUCCACCUAGAGGAGCCUGUUCUAGAACCGAUAACCCCCGUUCAACCUCACCCUUCCUUGCUCUUUUCCGCCUAUAUACCGCCGUCGCCAGCUUACCCUAUGAAGGACCCACAGUAAGCAAAAUUGGCACAGCCCAGAACGUCAGGUCGACGUGUAGCGUAUGGAAGGGGAAGAAAUGGGCUACAUUCCCUAACACAGUGAAUACGAAAGAUGCACUGAAACGUGCACCACGAAGGAGGAUUUAGCAGUAAGCAGGAAGUAGAGUGUCCCGCUGAAAUUGGCCCUGAAGCGCGCACACACCGCCCGUCAUUCUCCCCGAGCUUAAAUUUUCAUUUAACUAAAACCCUAAGACUGCUAAGGGGAGGCAAGUCGUAACAUGGUAAGUGUACCGGAAGGUGCACUUGGAACAAAU